UACGUAGGGUGCAAGCGUUUGUCCGGAAUUAUUGGGCGUAAAGAGCUCGUAGGCGGUUUGUCACGUCGGAUGUGAAACCCCGGGGCUCAACCCCGGGCCUGCAUUCGAUACGGGCAGACUAGAGUUCGGCAGGGGAGACUGGAAUUCCUGGUGUAGCGGUGAAAUGACGCAGAUAUCAGGAGGAACACCGGUGGCGAAGGCGGGUCUCUGGGCCGAUACUGACGUGAGGAGCGAAAGCGUGGGGGAGCAAACAGG
rnacentral:rRNA from 1 species